ACUGAACGCUGGCGGCAGGCCUAACACAUGCAAGUCGAACGGUAACAGGAAGAAGCUUGCUUCUUUGCUGACGAGUGGCGGACGGGUGAGUAAUGUCUGGGAAACUGCCUGAUGGAGGGGGAUAACUACUGGAAACGGUAGCUAAUACCGCAUAAUGUCGCAAGACCAAAGAGGGGGACCUUCGGGCCUCUUGCCAUCGGAUGUGCCCAGAUGGGAUUAGCUAGUAGGUGGGGUAACGGCUCACCUAGGCGACGAUCCCUAGCUGGUCUGAGAGGAUGACCAGCCACACUGGAACUGAGACACGGUCCAGACUCCUACGGGAGGCAGCAGUGGGGAAUAUUGCACAAUGGGGGCAAGCCUGAUGCAGCUAUGCCGCGUGUAUGAAGAAGGCCUUCGGGUUGUAAAGUACUUUCAGCGGGGAGGAAGGGAGUAAAGUUAAUACCUUUGCUCAUUGACGUUACCCGCAGAAGAAGCACCGGCUAACUCCGUG
rnacentral:rRNA from 1 species